GUACAAGUGAUCAAGAUAGUUGCGAGGCAGGGUCAAGUCAGCAAAGAUAGAUCUAAGCUAGGGUUUGUGAUAUCGACUACAAAUAAGUUGUUCAAUAAUCUCUCCUUGUGAAGGACAUCUGUUUUUAUUUGCUGAAAGUCUCACACGACGACGAUGCACGAACGAUAGGUAGAUAACACUUGCCUCCUCUAGAUGGAUCCACUCUAAUUGAUCUCCUAAUGGAUUGACAGUCUUCGUGUAGAUUGUACGAUAAAAAGAAGUGUUAUAAUAUGGAUGCACCCAUUGAAUGCAGAUGGUAAGUUUCAUAUAUCUAGCAACAACAAUGACAUAUAUAUAGGGAAUCUGUGGUAGUUAAAAUUUUUUACAGGUACAUGUAUACUCCGUAAGGUCAACCAGAGCAUCAUAUUGGCCAUUACCAAGAAUCUAGUAUCGUUCAGAUGUAAUAAAACGUACCUCCAAGUUUGAAGACUUUCGCACACGUUUGACAAUCUUUUUCUCUACCUAAGGUGUUAUUGGGUUGGUGCAAGAAUCUACAAAUCAUAUAAAUAUAAACAGAUAUGAGUUGUCACCUCAUUCAGUUGGCGACGAUGAACAAGAAGGUGUCACCAGAGUGCCUCCUUCAGUUUUCUCCCCCAUAACAUCAUUGUCAAUUCAGCUCGUUAACUCGUCCAACCAAUUGGUGACGGUCAAGCUCAACGAUAACAAUUUCUUGGUCUAGAAACAACAAAUUUUGAUUUCAAUUCGUGAGUAUGGUCUUGAAAACUUCAGUUUUAGGAGUUCUGCUCCUCCAAGGUUCAUCAUUGGCACACAACAACUCAAUCGUAAUUUUAUUACCCGUCAACGUCAAGAUCAACUGUUGACUUCCCGGAUUCUCUCCUAUGUAAGUCCUAAUUUAUUGUCUCAGUUUGUUGGUAAUGAAACUACAGAAGGACUCUAGAAAGCA